ACCAAGCACGGGUAAAUAACGGGAGUAACUACGACUCUCUUAAGGUAGCCAAAUGAAUCGCCAUCUAAUUAGUGACACACAUGAAUAGAUUUACUAGAUUCCCACUAUCCCUAUCUACUAUCUAGCGAAACCAUAACCAAGGGAAUGGGCUUGGCAUAAUCAAUAGGGAAAGAAGACCUUGUUGAGAUUGACUCUAGUCUAACUUUGUGAAAUGAAUUGAGAGUUGUAGAAUAAGUGGGAAUCAUUUUCGGCACAAAUGAAAUACCACUACUUUUAACAUUAUUUUACUUAUAAUUUUGUGGGGCGAAGAUGGGGCAGUUACCCUAUUUUUGGCCUUAAGUCAUGUUUCGAUGGGUCGAUCUAGGUGUAAGACAUUGCCAGAUGGGGAUUUUGGAUGGGGAAACACAUCUAUUAAAAGAUAACAUAAAAUAUAAUUGGUGUAGAUAGAACAUUUGUAUUUGGGAGAUCCUAGUGCGCAACCACCCUUAUUACCUUUCCCUCCUAAUUUGUAGU
rnacentral:ncRNA from 1 species